GAUGAACGCUGGCGGCGUGCCUAAUACAUGCAAGUCGAGCGAAAAGAUGAGGAGCUUGCUGCUCUGACGUUAGCGGCGGACGGGUGAGUAACACGUGGAUAACCUACCUAUAAGACUGGGAUAACUUCGGGAAACCGGAGCUAAUACCGGAUAAUAUAUUGAACCGCAUGGUUCGAUAGUGAAAGACGGUUUUGCUGUCACUUAUAGAUGGAUCCGCGCCGCAUUAGCUAGUUGGUGAGGUAACAGCUUACGAAGGCGACGAUGCGUAGCCGACCUGAGAGACUGAUCGGCCACCCUGGAGCGUAGACACCGUCCAUACUCCUACGGUAGGCAGCAGUAGGGAAUGUUCCGCAAUGGUCGAGAGCCUUACGGAGCAGCGCCGCGUGAGUGAUGAAGGCCCUCCGUUCGUAAAACUCUGUUAUUAGGUAAGAACAAAUUUGUAAUUAACUAUGCACUUCUUGACGGUACCUAAUCAGAAAGCCCCGGCUAACUACGUG
rnacentral:rRNA from 1 species